GACGAACGCUGGCGGCGUGCUUAACACAUGCAAGUCGAACGGAAAGGCCCUGCUUUUGUGGGGUGCUCGAGUGGCGAACGGGUGAGUAACACGUGAGUAACCUGCCCUUGACUUUGGGAUAACUUCAGGAAACUGGGGCUAAUACCGGAUAGGAGCUCCUGCUGCAUGGUGGGGGUUGGAAAGUUUCGGCGGUUGGGGAUGGACUCGCGGCUUAUCAGCUUGUUGGUGGGGUAGUGGCUUACCAAGGCUUUGACGGGUAGCCGGCCUGAGAGGGUGACCGGCACAAUUGGGCUGGGGAACCGGCCCGAACUCCAAGGGGGGGCAGGGGGGGGGAAUUUUGCACAAGGGGCGGAAGCCUGAUGCGGAAACCCCGCGUGGGGGAUGGCGGCCUUCGGGUUGUAAACCGCUUUCCCCUGUGACGAGGCGGGGGUGGCGGUAAUGGUUAAAGAAGCACCGGCUAACUACGU
rnacentral:rRNA from 1 species